UCCCAAUGCCGUAUGCAUGACUCUCUAGGC
rnacentral:piRNA from 1 species